rnacentral:rRNA from 1 species
AGUCUGCUGUGAAGCCCGGGCUCACUGGAAUGCAGUGAUACUGGCAGCUAGAGUGCGUAGAGGGUAGUGAAUCCCGUGUAGCGGUGAAAUGCGUAGAGAUCGGGAGGAACACCAGUGGCGAAGGCGGCUACCUGGACCAGCACUGACACUGAAGCACGAAAGCGUGGGGAGCAAACAGGAUUAGAUACCUGGUAGUCCACGCCCUAAACGAUGCGAACUGGACGUUGGGAGCAACUUGGCUCUCAGUGUCGAAGCUAACGCGUUAAGUUCGCCGCCUGGGGAGUACGGUCGCAAGACUGAAACUCAAAGGAAUUGACGGGGGCCCGCACAAGCGGUGGAGUAUGUGGUUUAAUUCGAUGCAACGCGCAGAACCUUACCUGGCCUUGACAUGUCCGGAACUGCCCAGAGAUGGGCGGGUGCCUUCGGGAAUCGGAACACAGGUGCUGCAUGGCUGUCGUCAGCUCGUGUCGUGAGAUGUUGGGUUAAGUCCCGCAACGAGCGCAACCCUUGUCCUUAGUUGCCAGCACGUAAUGGUGGGAACUCUAAGGAGACUGCCGGUGACAAACCGGAGGAAGGUGGGGAUGACGUCAAGUCAUCAUGGCCCUUACGGCCAGGGCUACACACGUACUACAAUGGUGGGUACAGAGGGUUGCGAAGCCGCGAGGCGAAGCCAAUCCCAGAAAACCCAUCUCAGUCCGGAUCGGAGUCUGCAACUCGACUCCGUGAAGUCGGAAUCGCUAGUAAUCGCGAAUCAGCAUUGUCGCGGUGAAUACGUUCCCGGGCCUUGUACACACCGCCCGUCACACCAUGGGAGUUGGUUGCUCCAGAAGCAGGUAGUCUAACCGCAAGGGGGACGCUUGCCACGGAGUGGUCAAUGACUGGGGUGAAGUCGUAACAAGGUAACC